AAUAAGUGUAGUUUUAUACUGUUUACGUCCAACGUUUGACCGCUCGUCUUAUUUGAAAUUUUUCUAUGAUUAGUAUUUUUAUUGUUAGUAGAUGAUAAAACAUAAAUAGUAUUUUAUGUGUGACUAACUUUUUUUUAAUAUUUUCAUAAAAUUUUCAAAUAAGACGAACGAUCAAACCUUCGACAUGGAUUCCUACGGCUGUACUUAUU
rfam:Oryza rufipogon genomic scaffold, chr03